GUGAGUCGUCCGUCUCUCUUCCUGAGUCUUUGAGCGAAAAUAGUGUAUAGACAGGAAUUCCUGAAGUCUAAACGCCUCCCACGAUGACAGGAGUGUUAUUGGGAAGAGAACAAACGAGGAGAUAAAAUCUUCAAGGAUUAGGAUAAUCUGACGAUGGGAGGUUAAAACUAACGGUUUAAAGGAUGAGCCAGGUGGAAUGGUUUGGCAGGGGCAAUGAGGAGCAGGAAGACACCAGCCCCUACUCCAGAAGCUGUGGGACCACUGGUUUGGCAGGAAAAGCCACCCCCAUUUAAGAUCACAGCUACUAGUGGAGAAGCGGUGUCGUCAUGGAAUAGCUAUCUUCCCAUAAACUUUUCAUGGACUGGAUGAAAUGUAUCAUCAGCAUGGAUUCUGUGAUAAAUUACAAGAUACAAACUCAAAAGGAACUGCUUUCUAUGUGCCUCAUAUUUUAAUGUUUCUCCCCUUUGUGAAUGCUUAGGUGAGACUGUAGUCAUGAAAACUGAGUAAAGACUUUAUUACACACAUUACUGAGGCUUCUCUCCAAUGUGGACAUUCUGAAGUUGAAGACUUGAGGCCUGAAUGAAGCACAUACCACCCUCCUCAUACUUCCGUAGUUUCUCUCCCGUGUGGAGCUUCUGAAGCAUAAUAAAAUUCAAGUGAUCCAGCAAUUCUAUUACUGGGUAUAUCCAAAGGAAAGGAAAUUAGUAUGUCACGGAGAUAUCUGCACUCCCAGGUUCAUUGUAGCACUACUCACAAUAGUCAAGAUAAGGAAUCCACCUAAGUGUCUAUCAAUACAUGAAUGAAGAAAAGGUGGCAUAUAUACACAAUGGAAUCCUCUUUAGACAUAACAAGGAAACAAAAUUUUAUCAUUUGUGGCAACAUGGAUGAGUUUUCAAGGACAUUGUUAAUAUAAGCCAAGCAAAGAAAGAGAAAUACUGACUGUCCUCACUCAUAUGGAAGUUAAAAAAAGUUGAUUUUGUAGUAGAGAGUAGAACAGUGGAUGUAGACAGGCAAGGAAGUGUAGGAGGUAGGUGAGAUGGCCAAAGGUUGGCCAACAGAUACAAAAGAGGUAGAGGGGAAGAAUAAGUUCUACUGUUCUGCAGCACUAAAGGUGACUAUCAUCAACAAUUAUUUACAAAUUGCUAAAAAUGUGUUGUAGUCUCACAAAUGCACCACACUGUAACAGUCUCUCUGUAACAGUCUCUCUUAUCCCCCGGAGUUCUUAAUCUCACGUCCAAUAUGAUUAAGAAGCACAGACACAAGGGUGAAAUUGGAGUAAAAGUUUAAUAAGUGAAAGAAAAAAGCUCUCCACAGUGGAGAUGGGGAUCCAAAUAAGUUGCCCAGUAUGAGGCUGGGGUCCGGGGUUUUUAUGGACUGGGAAGGGGAAGGAAUGCACUUAGCCUGCGGGCUGUCUUGGAGAAAGCGUGAUUCAGCUUGGUCUGGGACCUUGGCCCGGGACCAAUCAGGAACCGAAGUGAUGAUUCAUAAGGGCUAUUCAGCUUGGCCCGGGACCAAUCAGGAGUUGAAGUGAUUAUUCCUAAGGGCUAUUCAGCUUGGCCUGGGACCAAUCAGGAGCUGAAGUGAUGAUUUACAGAGGCUGGGCUUUUCCUUUUCCACAAAAGAAAGUGCCAACCUGAACCUACUGAAGCCCACUGUGUUCAUGCCCACAAAAGAAGAAACUUUUUCCUCGGAGCCUGCUGAUUAUACAAAGGACAAAGGCAUUUCUGUGUCUGGUCUUGUUCCCUUAACUGAGUGAGCCGGAGGUUUGUGCGAGUUUUUACCUGAAUGGGCUGGAGGUUCUUCUAUCUGUGCAGCCAUGGGCAUGUCUCCAGGCACAAUCCCCUGUGCUAGUUCCCUUAUCAGUGCCUGUAGCUUGAUUGUCUUCCCCAGGCUGCUUUUUGUGUUAUGUGGGGAUGAGACACUGACCCGUUUGGCUGGGGGUCUCCAGGGACCCUUCCCUUGCUGUCUACCAACUCCUCUCAAAUGGAUUUUGAAUUUUCCAACACAAAGAAAUGGUAAAUGUUUGAGGUAACAGAUACACCAAUUACACUGAUUGGAUCACUAUAAAUUGUAUGCACACAUUAAAAUAGCACGUUGUACCCCAUAAAUAUGAACAAUUAUGUGUCAUUUAGAAAUAAUGAUAAAAGUAUAUCCAGAUUCAAGCGCCUCUUGUAGCGUCUCCCACAAUCCUCACAUUUGGAUGGGUUUUCCCCACUAUAGUCUCUCGGCUGGUCUUUACGGUAUGUCCUGUGUACAAGCCUCUUUCCACAGUCCUCACAUUUGAAUGGUUUUUUCUGGCAGUGGAGUCUCUUAUGAUUCAAAAUACUUGAGGCCCGGCUAAAGUUCUUCCCACAUUCCUUACAAUUAUAAGGUCUCUCUCCCGUGUGGACCCUCUGGUGCAAGUCAAGAUUAAACUUAGUAACAUAGCCCUUCCCACACUCCUCACAUUUAUAUGGCUUUUCACCACUGUGGGAUCUCUGAUGGGAAGACAGUUGUGAAUUUGUAUAAAAUCCCUUUCCACAUUCUUCACAUUUGAAGCUUUUUUCUCCACUGUGGACUCGCUGAUGGUUCAAAAGGCAUGAGGACCAUCUGAAGCUCUUCCCACAUUCUUUACAAUUAUAUGGUUUUUCUCCUGUGUGGACCACCUGAUGCUUAUAAAAAUCUAGCCUACCAAUAAAGCCUUUUCCACACUGCUCACAUCUGUACGGUUUCUCUCCUGUGUGGACCAUGCAAUGCCUAUUAAGUGCUGAUCUCUGAUGAAAGCUCUUAUCAC
rnacentral:lncRNA from 1 species